UGUGAGGUCGGCAACAGGUCUGUAUAUUUACUAUCGGGUGUGAGGUCGGCAACAGGUCUGUAUAUUUACUAUCGGGUGUGAGGUCGGUUUGGGGGAACUUUUCUGUGGUUUGUCUUUCUAUAUUUGUGUUUGUUGUACAUUACGGCUGUUGUCGGGAGGAAUCUGCAUGUGCUUUUGAAAAUUGUUGGCAAUGUGCCUCGGCAGGUAUUUCAUGUACUCUGUGGGGAUGUACUUAGUUAACCCUUUCGCACUUAGCAGGCGUGGCCAGCUGUGGCCCCCAGUCCUUCAGACAAGGGCAAACACUCCAUGAAAAUUGAAGGGGUACCUAACUAAAAAAAUUGUAUAAAAUCACAAACACAACCAAAAA